GUGAGGGGCGGGGCCGCGAGGGGGCGGGGCCCCGCGGAGUUGCCCGGUGUCCGCGGACUCAGUUUCUCCAAAGCCUAGCCCCAGGGUGGGUGUGGCAGGCAUGCGUCCUGCUGAAGACCAGGCCCAGACCUUUCCAUUUGCGUAAGUUGUGUUUGUGUGUCGCCGGAAGUUUUGAUUCAGGUCAAGAGGAGUGGUCCUCCCAAUACCAACUUCUUGGCUGAUUUUGAGAGCAAAGAGGAGCCAUGGAGCUCCUUAGGCAAUCCAGGGAUGAACCUCAAGCCUGAUUUCACUGUUGAAUUCUGGAGAUGUCCGCAUCCCCAAGUGCUCCAGAGUCCGGAACACGGCCAAAGAAUCUUCUCUGACGUCUUUCAUGCUGACGAAGACUGCUAUAUUGUUUUGUGAGCAACUGAGGCUCACACGAACUUCUGCAGAAGGAACGAACUGAAGGCGCCAAAGCAGAGGUACCUGCCAAAUGCCUUAGCAUGUUGAAAACAGAGCUCCUGCUUCAGUCACAGAAACUUCUCCAGGAUAUGGAGGGAAAGAAGCGUUUGCAUUUAGGCAAAUAAGCGUUUGCUUCCGGGAAAAAAAUUUUAUUAUGUGCUUGUGUGAGCACGUGCACUUGUGAGUGCAGAUUCAGUCCAGAAGAAGGGUAGGGUCUCCUGGGGUUGGAAUUACAGGCAGUUGUGAGCUUCCUGCCUUGGGCUUUGGGAACUGAAACCAGGUCCUCUGCAAGAGCAGCAAGAGCCCCUAACAACUGACCAUCUCUCCAAGCAAAUUCCUUCAGUUUCCACUCACAGUUGUAAGUGUUAAUGGCUAGGUGUCAGACAACUCCCUAAUCUGGCAUCUACAUUACACAUGUGUAUUUGUCUCUCUAAAUAUAUAUUCAAUAGCAAAUAUAAAAUCCCCACAGCAUGCAGGUACUUGGGUCCAGAUGUCAUUUCAUUUUACCUCUGGAAAUUUGGCAAUUAAAACACUUCAAAAUUGACUUUAGCUAACACCUUGUACACCUUGCUUUUCUUGAUAACUUGUUAAUAAUCGUGCUUAGCAGAGCACUGGGUUAGUAGAAGUAGGUUUCCAUAUGCAAUCAAUGGAAUGACUAAAAAUAGACUGUGAUCAUUUUUUUUCAUUGUAUUCAAUCAAAGUAAGGCAUUCUAAAUCAUUCUCCCAAACCACCUGGUAGAUGUGGUCUGCAAAGUCUGCCUCUUGUAAGUGCUAAUGCACUCUGGUGGGGUCUAGCAUUGAUAACAUUUCUGCUUUUCCAGAAAGCUUAACAGAUGUCCAGUAAAUCAGUUUAAAAUAAGGCAUUAAGCAAAUGUUAUGACAUAAACUUGGACCCCUUUUUGUGUGAAAUAGCCAAGAUGACACCAAGAAAAACAAUAUGGAAGUGUUAGUUUUUCGUUUUGUUUUUAACCAUCAAAAUUUGUCUUUCUUCUUUUUCUUGCAAGCCCUUGAAGUAUUGCUUUGGGUGGGUAGCAUUAGCAAGGAGGGCACUGGAAUUCACUCCUAACCGAGCUUUUCCGUCCGGCUGACUCCAGACCAUUGUAAAUCAUUUGCAGAUGAUUUAUAGAAAAUAAAAUGAGGUAGGUCAAUGUUAGGGGAGUCCAUAAUCAAUUCUUUUAAGCGUUAAAGAGCAGAGAUGUCAAGGAGCUAGAACCGGAGGGUUUGAUGCUUGGAUGAAGUUGGUUGCAAGAGGGCAAGCAUCUCUAGUAUGAUCGUACCGUGGAAGUCAGGAAAAAAAGAUGUAUGGGACAGGGCAGGGUUUUGUGUACCUGUGCAUUCGUCACUGCAGAGAUGGACAGCUGAAAGGUGUGGAAAUUGUGACGUCAAAGUGAAGCACCAAACAGGAAGUUAAGAGUUAAAGCCUGUGCUGGGACAGUGACUUAGGUAAGCUAGCAGCCUACCUGGGUUAAUUAAAGGCCAUGGGUGGAGACAACAGCAGCUAAAGGGAAAGUUAGAUAGAAGAUAUGGAAGACAACCAGUAAGCCAGGACCAGCACAGAAAGGAGAUGAAUAGGUAGGCAAAGAACAGACAGAGGUGAACGAGUCAAAUCCAUACGACUCAUAAAGGAAACUCAGGGAGGGUUAGCUAGAAUGUGAAAUUAUGGAGAAGGAUAGAGUGUGACGGGCACUUAACAACACUCAUGGGUAGCUUCUGGGAAGUGUGUUGUUGGUGAAUUGUGGGGCAGAUGUUAUUUAACCCUAGCUCCCUUUGUGCCUACUGAAGUCCUGUGGUUAAUGUUUGACUUGGCUCCACCACAAAACUCAUGGAACAUCAGCCAAACACAUGACCUCUGGCAGAGGAGAUAUCAGUCAAAUAGAGAGGUCAGUAUACUGGGAUUUGAAAGUCUGUGCUUAAAAAAAUAAACAGAUAUUUUAGAUUUUACACACACACAUACACACAAACAGAGAGAGAGAGAGACAGAGAGACAGACAGACACACACACACAAAGAGAGGGGAGUGUGUUCUAUAUGUAAGGCAAAUGUAGUAUUUUUCCACUUAAACUUAGUGGGUUAUCUCAUUUCAGCCUCUGGUGAGGUAUCAGCUCAUUAAAGAUAACUGACUUUUCCUCUCCAAGAAGUUUAUCAAAUCCAAUAGUUCCUCAGCUAGUGGUGGAAUGCUCCUCCCCACUGUCCCAUGCUAGGAUUUUGUUUGGCUGGAGCUUAUGUUGUAAUUAAACCUCUUUUUGAUUGCAAGUAACAGAAAUCCGGGUGAGCUAGUUUGUUAACUAAAUAACAAGAUGGUAUUAUAUUAUCAGGAGACGUGUUUGUUACAAAACUCAACAGCUAAAUAUGUCUGGCAGUAAGCAGAUGCAGACACUAUGUGACCUCAGGAAUCAAAAGCACUGCUCUUCUCCAGGGGCAUAUGGACUCUCAUCUCUGCUUUUCCUGCAUCAGCUUUGCUUCGUUUACUACUAAAGCUGUCCUCUGUACAUCCCGACAUCUAAGAAGGCAGCCUCGGCUCACAGAUGGAUAUCAUCUCAGUUUAAACAAAAAACCCAGAAUGGGUUUCCAAACCAGGCAACAGAAAGACUCUUGUUAUCUCAACUUGGACCUCUGAUCCAAUCAGCUUGGUCCAAUGCUAGUGGAGAGGACUCCGCUGGACACACAAAUUGAAGCUCAAACUAAAAGAUAGGACAGACCUCACAGAAAGGAAUGGUUGAGAAUUUCCCGAACACCUCCAAACGCGAAGCAGUGGAAGGGAAAGUUAAUAAAAUCAUCCCAGCUACAUUCUACAGGAACUGGUAUAAGACUCAAAUGAGGCAGCAGUGACGUCGGAGAGUUGGACAGAUCUGCCAGUGAUGUUAAAGAGGAGGUUAUUUUGGACUUAGGGGGACAAGAAAUCUGUUAGGACUCCUUUUCACAUCUUAGGACUGUGCUGUGUUGCAGAUAUAGUGAUCAAACACCUUCCUUCUGUAUAAAACAGAGGAAGACAAGGAAGCAAGAUUGAGAAAGCCAAGAAGUUCAAUUUUAUAUGUACCAAAUUUGCAAGGCCAGUGGUAUCUGGGUCUAGUAACCAACAGAAAGGUGUGGAGUUACAGAUGCAGAUGAUGCGUGCACAGGUCUACAUGCACAAAAAUAUAUGCCUAUGGGGCUGGAAAGAUGGACCGGUGAUUGAGAGCACUUGCUGCUCUUCAGGGGACCUGAGUUUGGUUCCAGCACCUUCUCACAGCUACUCUGCCCACGUGUACAUAUAAUCAUACACAUAUUAAACACACUGUAAAUACAAUAAAGAAUGGUUAGAAAGUUGUUGGAAUUAAAUGAGGUGAGAUUUCAAGAUAA